UCCUUCGUGGUCCAAAGCCUAGGAUGCCGCGCUCUCACCCAGAUGGUCCGGGUUCGAUUCCCGGCGAGGGAA